rnacentral:rRNA from 1 species
UGGUUCCGCGCCGACAAUGUAGCGGGGCUCAAGCACACCACCGAAGACGCGGCAGUAUUUUGUACUGGGUAGGAGAGCGUCCCAUGAGGGGCGAAGCGGCCGUGUGAACGCGCCGUGGACUUCAUGGGAGUGAGAAUGCAGACAUGAGUAGCGAGAGACGGGUGAAGAUCCCGUCCGCUGGAUGACCAAGGGUUCCAGGGCCACGUUCAUCGUCCCUGGGUGAGUCGGGUCCUAAGGCGAGGCCGACAGGCGUAGUCGAAUGGAUGAACGGGUCGAUAUUCCCGUACCGGCUUUCAGCCGCCAAAACCGAGGCUUGGAGUACUAACCUCCGGGUCCGGGCUUACUGCUCCUUCGGGGGCGGGAUGCCCUGGCCUGUUGGGACCGAUCCUUGUAGUAGGUCAGCGCAGGAGUGACGCAGAAGGGUAGCCGGCCGCGGAGGUGGUCUUCCGUGGUCAAGCACGCAGGGCGUGGGACAGGCAAAUCCGUCCCGCAUGGGUCCGAGGUGCGAUGAUGGGGGCCUUAUGGCCCGAUAUCCGGUGAUCCCGGCUGCCGAGAAAAGCUUCGGCGUCAGGCUCAAAGCCGCCCGUACCCCAAACCGACACUGGUGGUCAGGUAGAGAAUACCAAAGCGAUCGAGCGAAUCCUGGUCAAGGAACUCGGCAAAUCACUCCCGUUCCUUCGGUUUAAGGGAGACCCCCGAUGGUGAACCGCCUCGCGCGGGGAGCUUUUGGGGGUGGCACAGACCAGGGGGUAGCGACUGUUUACCAAAAACACAGGUGCAUGCGAAGGCGCAAGCCGCUGUAUAUGCACUGACGCCUGCCCGGUGCCGGAAGGUUAAGAGGAUCCGUCAGUCCCUUUUGGGGUGAAGCGGUGAAUUCAAGCCCCGGUAAACGGCGGUGGUAACUAUAACCAUCCUAAGGUAGCGAAAUUCCUUGUCGGGUAAGUUCCGACCUGCACGAAUGGCGUAACGACUUCCCCACUGUCUCGACCAGGAGCUCGGCGAAAUUGCAGUACGAGUAAAGAUGCUCGUUAAGCGCAGAAGGACGAAAAGACCCCGGGACCUUUACUAUACCUUGGUAUUGGCGUUAGGCGCGGAUUGUGUAGCAUAGGCGGGAGGCUUCGAAGCAUGGGCGCCAGCCCGUGUGGAGCCGCAAGGUGAAAUACCGCUCUGUUCUCGUUUGACGUCUAACCUCGAACAGUCAUCCUGUUCAGGGACAGUGCCUGGCGGGUAGUUUAACUGGGGCGGUUGCCUCCCAAAGAGUAACGGAGGCGCUCAAAGGUCCGCUCAGCCCGGUUGGCAAUCGGGUUUCGAGUGUAAUCGCACAAGCGGGCUUGACUGCGAGAACGACGGUUCGGGCAGGGACGAAAGUCGGAGAUAGUGAUCCGGUGCCGGCGCACGGGCGCGGCAUCGCUCAACGGAUAAAAGGUACCCCGGGGAUAACAGGCUGAUCAUUCCCAAGAGUCCAUAUCGACGGGAUGGUUUGGCACCUCGAUGUCGGCUCGUCGCAUCCUGGGGCUGGAGCAGGUCCCAAGGGUUCGGCUGUUCGCCGAUUAAAGCGGCACGCGAGCUGGGUUCAGAACGUCGUGAGACAGUUUGGUCUCUAUCCUCUGCGCUCGUUGGAAU